rnacentral:rRNA from 1 species
UGAGUGCUAAGAGAAUGAUUAAACAAUUAAAAGCUUUCUUUAAUUAAAAAAUUAAAUUUAAUUUUUUAGUGCAAAAGCAAAAAUAAAAUUUAGGGACAAGAAGACCCUAUGAAUUUUUAUUGUUAAUAAUUAAAAUUUAAGUUAUUAAUAAUUUAAUUGGGGUGAUAAAAAAAGAAUAAGUAUCUUUUUAGUUAUAAAAUAAGUUCCGUUUUUAGCGAUUAAAUGAAAUAAAUACUCUAGGGAUAACAGCGUAAUAA